rnacentral:rRNA from 1 species
AUGAACGGGCAUGCGAUGAUAAGGAACUUUGGUGCGGGACAUGGUCUUAAAAGAGAUGGCAUGUCAGCACCAGUCCGAGUUUUCAACAUGAAGGACAACAAGCUAUACCCAGGAGGAAGUCCGCACUAUAGGGCAAUCUUUGACCCAAGCUUUGCGGACAUAGCCAUUGUCAGCAGCAAAGAAGAUGAAUUGCAGCGUGUGCACUGGAUGUUCAAGAAAGAAAACCAUGAUUACAAACUAGAGGAAUGCACAAAAUUUUUCGUUAUACUUGAGAUCGCAAAAGGGUGGUGUAUUUAUGAGAUAGACAUUGCUGCAAGAACUCUACGCGUAAUGGAUCCCAUGCUUACAACCUCCCCACCAGGUUCACUUGAACAGAAGCACAAAGAAACAAGCAAGUGCGUCACCCGAUGCCUCUUCAAAUGCCUCAAUGCAUGUUAUCCAGACUGUUCUGAGAGUGGCUUCUAUGUCCUGCACUACAUCAAGGAGUAUGAUGGGUGCAGGCUGCAAAUAAUGCCAACCCCGCUUUAA